AACCUGGUUGAUCCUGCCAGUAGUCAUAUGCUUGUCUCAAAGACUAAGCCAUGCAUGUCUAAGUAUAAGUGUUAUACAGCGAAACUGCGAAUGGCUCAUUAAAACAGUUAUAGUUUAUUUGAUAAUCGAAUUUACAUGGAUAACCGUGGUAAUUCUAGAGCUAAUACAUGCUGGUAGGCCCGACUUUUGCGGAAGGGCGGUAUUUAUUAGAUAACAAGCCAAUAUUCCUCUGGUCUAUUGUGGUGACUCCUAAUAACUGAUCGAAUCGCAAGACCUUUGGCCGCGAUAAGUCAUUCAAGUUUCUGCCCCAUCAGCUUUCGAUGGUAGUGUAUUGGACUACCAUGGCGUUUACGGGUAACGGAGGAUUAGGGUUCGAUUCCGGAGAGGGAGCCUGAGAAACGGCUACCACAUCUAAGGAAGGCAGCAGGCGCGUAAAUUACCCAAUCCUGACUCAGGGAGGUAGUGACAAGAAAUAACGGACCGAGGCCUUCGGGCUUCGGGAUUGGAAUGAGCCGAAUUUACACCCCUUAGCGAAGAUCGGUUGGAGGGCAAGUCUGGUGCCAGCAGCCGCGGUA
rnacentral:rRNA from 1 species